UUCUCGCCUGGAGUUUGGGUCCUGCCAGAAACCAGCACAACCCCAGAAGUCUCUGGAGCCCCUGGAGGAAACAGAGUGGUUCUCGCCCUCCUAGGGGACGGGGGCUGUCCGCAGAGGCCAGCCCACGGGAACCAGCGUAGCGGCACAGCCUGCCUUCAAGGGGCUCAGGAGGGAUGACGUGGGGAGAAAGGGGUUCGAGGAGCUCGGGAUGGGAACUAGGUGCUGCAGGAGACAAAGCCCCAGACGCGGCAGGACAUCACAUUUGGACAGGGUGGACCCCAUCUGGUGCCACUCUGGUCAGGAGCACAGAUGCGCAGGGAAGUGCCAGGACCCGCCGAGGCCUGAGUGGAGGCCGAGGCCAGGAGGCCUUCUGUGUCCUUUCCACUGCUGACGGGUGAGGGUGUCCUUCCAGGUGGUGGGGCAGCCUUAGCAGGACAGAAGCCAGGAGCCAGGGAGACGAGUGUGUGUGUGUGUGUGUGUGUGUGUGUGUGUGUGUGUAAGACAGGUGCAUGGGCCCUCACUGUGCUUGCUCCCAGGAGAAAAUCUUUGUGUCUAAAACCCUGCGGGAGCCCCCAGGGUCAGGAAGGUUGCCGGGUCGAGGUUCUAAGGCAGUGUGAAUCCAGUGGUCUCACCUGUGUACUCACUGCUUCCGUCUUGCUGGUGGUUCUCCCUCUCGCCCUCCCUGCCCAGCCCAUUCAGCCUAGCUGUGCCUUUGCAAAGAGCCCAGGGUUGCGGGCCCUGUUUGUAGGUGAUUGUUUGGAUGCAUUCAUCUGUCUGCAGGAACUGGGCCCAGGCCUGGUGUUUUCUUUUAUUUUUAGACCUAUUUUUCUUUUUCCUGUUUUAUAAAAUGAGCACCACUGUGGGCCUAUCUGGACAGAGUUGGAGCAGCCUCUGGGAGGGACUGAGCACCCCAUCUCUGGAGCUGAGGGCCCCGCCAUCCACGCAGCAGCCAAAUCCAGGAGGGUGGGCAUCAUCUGGGUUCUGAGCAUGCCGUCAGCUCCUCCGUGGUCAACAGAAUGCCAGGACAUCCGCUCUCAAAGAAGUGUCUCAUCUGUUGGGGAGAUCGGGAGAUCCUUAACGCUUCACUCCCUGGGACAAGCAACAUGACAGAUUGUGGUGUCCUUCUUCCUUUCGUCCUGCUGCACGAUUCCUGGGACUCCCCUGAAUCUCCCUCUGCAAGGAACGGAGGGCACCGUCUGCGCAGGGCUGGCUUACGGUCUCUGUUCAGCCACGUCAUGGCUCCACAGAGUGGCUGGAGGCGCUGGGCACCUCACCGUGCUGGGCAGGGCUGCGCACUCCACAGGGCCAGGGAUGUGGUCUGCGAGCAGAUCAGGGGGCACGUGGUACACGGAACUCCUCUCAAUGCCUUUCAGGGGUCAGGACGGUCUCGGGGCCUGGCGGGGAUGGGCCUGCGGUUUGGAUGUGACCGUGUCUGCAGCUGCGAGGUGCCACAGGCUCGGCUCACGGGCUGUGUGGUCCUCAGCAGGUACCAGGGGACCUGGGGCAGGGGGGACUUUGUGGGCAGUUGCCUGUGGUGUAAGCCUGUUUGCCAUCUGGGGCUCCAGAGUUGCCUCCUGCCCUCUGAGUUAAUAAGAGUCAGUCCUGGGCUGAGACUUAGCCAAUCUGUUCUGUCCAUGCUCAGUGGCCUUGUUCCGGGGGAAUUUGCGUGGAGUAGAGUGUUUUCUAAUUAGCAGGACUAGGGCUCUAGGGGAGAUUUGGGGGGCAGGAGCGCGGGCAAGGGUCAGUCAUCUGUCUGUGUCACAUGGUGGGUGGGGAGGUGGCAACUGGCUCAAAACUUCCUCCACCCCGAGGACCCAGAGCUUCCUUGUCCACUAGCUGUGUUCAGGCACGAAGGGCUCUCCUCCUCUAGAAACUGCUCUUCCUUUGCUGUGUUCCUGGCUUCCUGGAGGGAGACGGAGGGAGUGGGACGGGGCAGCAAGGAGGUGGGACGGCUGCGUUCAGAGAGAGACCUGGGGUCUGGGAGGACUUCCUGUGAGAAAUGGACCCUCAGGAAGAGCCCGUCGAGAGGCUCUGCCCCAGGUGCCUCGCCUUCCUGGAGUGCUGUCCACCUCUGAAGCAUCUGUGGCAAGACAAAUAGAGAGAGAGCCAAGCCACUGGGGUGGUCAGGAUGCAUGGUUGGCGGUGACCUUAACUCAAGCAAGGUUAUCAGUUCCUAGGGCAGGGGGGGGACAGUGGGACACUCCUAGACAGAGAGGGAGCAGGGCUUUGGGAGGGGACCUCACACCACUGGGGUGUUCCCUCCAUCAGUGUCUCUGCUUCUCUCUGCAUGUCGGCCCUGUUCUCUCCUGCUGCACACCAGAGACCUUCUCCCCUGUGGGGAAACAGGAGGGUCAGCAGCAGUUAGAACUGUAGUAGAACAUCUGCCAAUUUCCUCCCCGUGAGGGCAUGUCCGUCUCAGGCCUGAGUCACACGGGUGUCCGGGGAGGCUCUCUGGGCAGACAGAAUUAGCUGCCGCAGCUCACCACCCCCACCUCAUAUUUUGAUUCACCCAGUUAGUGAGGAACCAGGUCCCAGACUGA